GACAGAGGUGCCGAGCGUUAGGCGGAAUCACUGGGCUUAAAGCGUGUGUAGGCGGAUCCGUAAGUACCUUGUGAAAUCCCACGGCUCAACCGUGGAACUGCUUGGUAUACUGCGGGUCUUGAGCCAUCUAGGGGCAACCGGAACAAACGGUGGAGCGGUGAAAUGCGUAGAUAUCAAGUGGAACACCAGUGGCGAAGGCGAAUCCCUGGAAAAUACCUGACACUGAGGCACGAAAGCUAGGGGAGCAAACAGG
rnacentral:rRNA from 1 species